rnacentral:rRNA from 1 species
AUUGAACGCUGGCGGCAUGCCUUACACAUGCAAGUCGAACGGUAACAGGUCUUCGGAUGCUGACGAGUGGCGAACGGGUGAGUAAUACAUCGGAACGUGCCUAGUAGUGGGGGAUAACUACUCGAAAGAGUGGCUAAUACCGCAUGAGAUCUACGGAUGAAAGCAGGGGAUCGCAAGACCUUGUGCUACUAGAGCGGCCGAUGGCAGAUUAGGUAGUUGGUGGGAUAAAAGCUUACCAAGCCGACGAUCUGUAGCUGGUCUGAGAGGACGAGCGGCCACACUGGGACUGAGAAACGGCCCAGACUCCUAGGGGAGGCAGCAGUGGGGAAUUUUGGACAAUGGGCGCAAGCCUGAUCCAGCAAUGCCGCGUGCAGGAUGAAGGCCUUCGGGUUGUAAACUGCUUUUGUACGGAACGAAAAGCCCCGGGUUAAUACCCUGGGGUCAUGACGGUACCGUAAGAAUAAGCACCGGCUAACUACGUGCCAGCCGCCGCAGUAA